GAAGGGCACCACCAGGAGUGGAGCCUGCGGCUUAAUUUGACUCACAGGCCGAAACUUACCCGGCCUGGACUGGGAAGGAUUGACAGAUUGAGAGCUCUUUCUUGAUUCAGUGGGUGGUGGUGCAUGGCCGUGCUUAGUUGGUGGAGCGAUUUGUCUGGUUAAUUCCGAUAACGAACGAGACUCUAGCCUAUUAAAUAGGCUCCCGGCUUUUAAACGCCGGGAGGACUUCUUAGAGGGACAGGUGGCGGUUCAGCCGCACGAAAGAGAGCAAUAACAGGUCUGUGAUGCCCUUUGUUGUCCGGGGCCGCACGCGCGCUACACUGAAGAGAUCAGCGUGCUUUAUGUUCCUGCUCCGACCGGAGUGGGGAACCCAGUGAACCUUCUUCGUGAUUGGGAUAGAAGAUUGUAAUUAUUCUUCUUGAACGAGGAAUUCCCAGUAAAUGCGAGUCAUAAGCUCGCGUUGAUUAUGUCCCUGCCCUUUGUACACACCGCCCGUCGCUACUACCGAUUGAACGAUUU
rnacentral:rRNA from 1 species